AUUGAACGCUGGCGGCAGGCCUAACACAUGCAAGUCGAGCGGAGCGGCGGACGGGUGAGUAAUGCCUAGGAAUCUGCCUGGUAGUGGGGGCUAACGUCCGGAAACGGGCGCUAAUACCGCAUACUAUCAGAUUAGCCUUGGUCUGAUUAGCUAGUGGGUGGGGUAAAGCCCUACCAAGGCGACGAUCCGUAACUGGUAGGAGAGGAUGAUCAGUCAAACGGGAACUGAGAAACGGUCGAGACUCCGACGGGAGGCAGCAGUGGGGAAUAUUGGACAAUGGGCGAAAGCCUGAUUCAGAAAUGCCGCGUGUGUGAAGAAGGUCUUCGGAUUGUAAAGCACGUUAAGUUGGGAGGCGGUACCAACAGAAUAAGCACUGGCUAACUUCGUGCCAGCAGCCGCGGUAAUAC
rnacentral:rRNA from 1 species